GUACAGAGGAUGCAAGCGUUAUCCGGAAUGAUUGGGCGUAAAGCGUCUGUAGGUGGCUUUUUAAGUCCGCCGUCAAAUCCCAGGGCUCAACCCUGGACAGGCGGUGGAAACUACCAAGCUGGAGUACGGUAGGGGCAGAGGGAAUUUCCGGUGUAGCGGUGAAAUGCGUAGAUAUCGGAAGGAACACCUGUGGCGAAAGCGGACUCACUGGACCAUUACUGACGCUGAGGCACGAAAGCUAGGGAGCAACAGG
rnacentral:rRNA from 1 species